GGGGAAGUGGCGGAAUGGCAGACGCAGCCGCCUCAAAAGCGGCCGAGGCAACUCAUGUGGGUUCGACUCCCACCUUCCCCACCA
rnacentral:tRNA from 1 species